rnacentral:lncRNA from 10 species
GGAGGAGUCAGUCACGCACAUCAGCCUUAGACUCUGAGCCCAAGCAAGCCUCUGUCACCACUGUCCUCCUGGCAGCAUCCUGAAUUGCGAAGAGCCACCCCGCCCCCCAGACAUUCAGUGACCUAGACUCAGACCUCUGGGGAAGGACACAGUCUCCAGGCUCAGCCAGUAGGCAGGGGACUGUGACAGAAAGGGACAUGUGGCCAAGUCCCUCUGGUGAGAUACAAACCUGGACUUUGGCCAAACCUGGAUGUAAAUCUUCUCCCGGACUUCUCCCAGGUUUUCAACCUAGAAGCAUCUUUCUCCUGGACCUGGAAGCGAUCCCUUUGAAACACAGUCAUAAAGACAGGGCCUCUGUCUCCUGGGUCCUGUGGGAAGAGUCCUCAGGUGACCUUGGGAGUUCAUGCUUCCUCUCUAAGCCUUCGACCCCAAGCUGAAACAGUGGAGCUGCUGGAGAUGGUACUGGGUGCCCCUGCUAGCUGAGACAUUGCAGGACUUUUGGGACACGAGGUUCUGCCACUCUGAUCAGUCGUCAUCACCGUGUGUGCACAAGAGAACCCUGCAGAGCUUCCCAUGCUACAGCCAUUCAAACCUCUAAUCCUUGGAAUCCUGGUGUGGGAAAACUCAAGUGAAAAUGCCCAGGAAAUUCUGAUUGCUGCAGAGACAUUGAGGGAAUCAGCGAAUCUGGCAAUGAGGCUGGAGUGCAGUGGUGCCAUCUCAGCUUACUGCAACCUCUGACUCCCUGGUUCAAACGAUUCUCCUGCCUCAGCCUCCCGAGUAGCUGGGAUUACAGGUGUGUGCCACCACGUCUGGGGUUUCACCAUAUUGGCCAGGAUGGUCUCGAUCUCCUGACCUCAUGAUCCGCCCGCCUCGGCCUCCCAAAGUGCUGGGAUUACAGGCAUGAGCCACUGUGCCCGGCCUCUGAUGGUUUCAUAAGGGGCUUCCCCCUUCGUUUGGCUCUAAUUCUCUCUCCUGCCACCCUGUGAAGACGUGCCUUCCGCCAUGAUUGUAAGUUUCCUGAGGCCUCCCCAGCCAUGUGGAACUGUGAGUCAAUCAAACCUCUUUUCUUUAUAAAUUACCCAGUCUCGGGUAUUUCUUCAUAGCAGAGUGAGAACGGAUGAAUACAGUGGGGGAGAGAGUUGCUGUGUUUAUAUUUUAUGUGUUAAAUGCUCUUGGAUGAUCUUCACUCCUCAGAAUUCUCUUGGGUUCUCAGCUUUCCUUAGUUUUCCAGGAGCAUUGUUUGAUAUUUUCACUGAAUGUGUUUAUACCUUUUUCUUUAUGAAUAAAAUCUGGGCAAAUCAAUUAUCUUAAAAUAAUGUCCUCUAAUUUCUAGAUUAAGGACUCAUUAACUCAAUAUUUUUAGAUGUAUUUUUAGUGUUAUUUUUAGAUGUAUUUUUGAUACUAAUUGGUUAUUUGCUUUUCUGCUUCUCUUCCUGAAAUGCAGUUCUCACUUCUUCUGGGAUUAAAAUUAAUUACUAUUCAAAGGACAUUGACAGAAGUUGAGUAAUAAUACUAAGCAUAGUCUACUCUUAGUAUUAUUUCCUUCACAUCAGCAGGUCUCUUAUUCAGGUUAUGAGACCGCUUUGAAAUUAGUGGAGAGAAAAGUUAAUGCUAAACUAAUAUUUGUUUUUUUGCAAAUCAAGGAGAUAAGUCAUUUCAAUGUCCCUGAUGGUUCCAUCUAGAAAUAGAGAUCACAGGUGAUGAAGGAGAUGAUAAUGAUGGUGAUAAUAAGGAUGGCAGUAAUGAGAAAAGCUUCAAUUAACUGGGUGUCUAAUUUGGGACAUGUCUCAAUCAGAAUAGAAUAGUAAGUGCUUUUCAAAGAGAAUUCAGAUGACCAGCACCAUCAGCAUUGCAUGGGAUCCUGUUAGAAAUGCAAAUUUUGGACCCCAACACAAGACCUACUAUACUGCAAUGUUGGGGAGUUGAGCCCAGAGAUAUGGAUUUUAGUAAUCCCUCAAAUGAUUCUUAUGCAUGUUUAAGUUGGAGAAAUAGUGACUAAGUAAUGAUGUGGCAACAAACAAGCCCAGAAUUUCAGUGACGUAAACCUCCGAGAUUUAUUCACUGAUCACACUGUGGGUCCUUAUGGGUCAUCUGCUGUCUGCUCGCCACGUCACUCAGGGGCCUAAGCUGAUGGUGCAGCCCCACAUGGAAACUGCUGGUGGCUAUGGCAGAGGAAAAGAAAAGAGAGAAAAUAUGCUCUGCUUCUGGCUGUCAACAUUUCAGCCAGGAGUAUGCCCUUCCAGUCAAUUAGAAGCCACACUCCACACUUAAAUCUACUGUUACUGCAUCCUUGACAACGAUCUUCUUCCCUGAAACGUCUCCUGUGUGAUGGAUUGAGGGUGCAAAUACCGAUGGCUUUCUAUUUCUCUUCUUUUCUCAUCUCAACUCAAACUAAACAUUUUUUUCAGGAAAAGAAGAAGAACAAAGGAUCUCCACAGAUUAAUGAUUGGGUUUAUUCUUUGAAUGUUUGAUUCUUUUAUAGUUUGAUUUGAGAUAAAUCCUGGUGAUGCUAAUUCCCAACAUAAAAUGUCAUCUGAGUUUAAAUGGGUGACAGUGUUUUCUUCAUUUAAGAUGCUCUUUUAUGACCAUACUAUAAUUAUAAAGAACGGGGUGCUUUGUUUGGCUUUAUGGAAGCAGCAAUCAUAAUCACAAUAAAACACAGUUAUCUUUGCCUCACUUGACCCUACCUUGGAGUAUGCUUCACACAGAAGUGCUAGGGGAUUGGGGCUUAAGGCGAUCACAAAAUACUUUCUAAAUGGCUCACCAGAAAUAAAGAAAAAAGACGAUGAAAGAAAGAAUUUAGUUCUAUGCAGAUUCUUUUUUAUUUUGUUGAAAGACACAUUUUUUCUCCUGCUAAAAAUUACCAAUUCAUUUCCUCUAGAGCUUGAGGCACCAUGACACAGAAACCAAGGACACAUGACUUCAGAUACUUAAGAAAACUCAUGUCAUCAAAUCACAUCAAGAACAUUGGAUGGCACAUCAAGACCUUCGUAAUAAGGUGGGUGUGGAUCUCAGCUAUCACACCCAGAUUGAGGAAAAAUUCCCAAAGUGAUUUUAUUUUUAGUUGUACAUCUUGUCUUUGUUUCCUUCUGAACUCCCAUUCCUCAAGAAUGGCAGAAACCCAAUCUCAGCUCUUGCAGGACCGCUAUUCUGGUUCUGAGCCCGUGACUAAGGAUUAGAGAUUCUUUGUCCUGCUGAGACAUCUGGUCUGAACAAGCAGGUAUCCUCUAUGCCAGGGCUAGGAUUUAAAUACUGGCCUCAUUCCAAAAUUUACUUUCUAUUCUCCUUCUCUGCAUACUUAGGUAGUUUGAUUUCAGCUAAGCAGAAGCAGCAGCUCUCAUUAAUUGGAACCUGGUUCUGCUGCCUUGUCCUGCCAUUCUAACACUAAAGUCCUGUUUCUCUGCUUUCAUGAGCUCCUGGGUUUUGUACACGUUCCUUUUUCACUGCAACGUGUCAAAGCCUAUUAAAAUUUUGUGUUUGAAUUUUACUAUCCAACUUCUUUUUUUUUUUUUUCUUACCAAUGAGUGCAUUCAUAUCUUGUGUCUUUGGUCUUACACUCCUAAUAACUUUGUAAAGUGGGUUAGGCAGGUACAUUCAUUUACAAAUAAAAGAACUGAGGUGCUAACAUUUUCUGGAUUUGCAUUUCUUAAAGGCAGAGUGGGGAGGUAGCAAAAGCUGUCCUGGGGACCAGCCCAGUUCUUUUUGAUCCAGUGCUGUUACAAGCAUUCAAUCUAUCUUUUACUCUCUAGUUUUCUUUUUGCUUUACUCUAGUUUGUUUUCAAUAAUCUUGGGAAUUACACAUUUUUUUUCUUUUUGAGACUGAGUCUUGCUCUGUCACUCAGGCUGGAGUGCAGUGGUGCGAUCUUGGGUCACUAUAACCUCCACCUCCCGGGUUCAAGCGAUUCUGCCACCUCAGCCUCCCAAGUAGCUGGGAUUAUAGGCACGCGCCACCAUGCUCAGCGAAUUUUUGUAUUUCUAGUAGAGAUGGGGUUUCACCAUGUUGACCAGGCUAGUCUCAAACUCCUGACCUCAGGUGAUCUGCCCGCCUUGGCCUCCCAAAGUGCUGGGUUACAGGUGUGAGCCACCACACCUGGCUGGGAAUUACACAUAUUUUAAAAGUGAAUUUUAAUUUUAUUUACUUUAAAAAUGUUGUGCAUCAUGCAAUAGAAUUAAGUUAUCACUGUCUGUUCUUUGAAAUUUUAUGCCCAAAAAUGUCAUGCAUGCUUGUAAUAGACCCAAAUAUGGGCAAGAACUACGAACGUAAUCAAAAGAAAGACAUUUCUGAGAAUUCUACCCCAACCCAGCUUUGCUAAAAACAUGAAUAGGUUACAGUUAAGUAAGACAAUUCUAGAAUAAGGUAACACUGUGUUUCAGUCUUACUGCUGGUUGACCUUGGAUAAGUUAAUAAACUUCUGUUUUCUCAGCUCACUCUGUAAAAUGUGGAGACUGGUAGUAUACACAGAAUAAAGUAAAACUGUGUUUGAGUCUUACUGCUGGUUGACCUUGGAUAAGUUAAUAAACUUCUGUUUUCUCAGCUCACUCUGUAAAAUGUGGAGACUGGUAGUAUACACAGAAUAAGGUAAAACUGUGUUUGAGUCUUACUGCUGGUUGACCUUGGAUGAGUUAAUAAAAUUCUGUUUCCUCAGCUCAUUCACUGUAAAAUAUGGAGACUGGUAGUAUAUAUGCCCUCAAAAAAAGUUAUUAUGAGGGUUCAAGAAAGUGGCCCUUGCAGAAUGCACAGAGCAGUACUCGUCACAUAGAGGCACUCAUCAGUAUUUUCUGUGUAUCAUCAAGAUCAUCAUCAUCACCAUCACCAUGCUGAUCACCCUUUCAACCAUGGAAUGCUGCUGACAUAAGCAAGUGACAAGUUAGAUUCUGCUUGACGUCCUGGUGCUGUGGCUCACGCCUGUAAUCCCAGGACUUUGGGAGGCCGAGGCGGGCAGAUCACGAGGUCAGGAGUUUGAGACCAGCCUGGCCAGCAUGGUGAAACCCUAUCUCUACUAAAAAUACAAAAAUUAGCUGGACUCAGUGGCACGUACCUAUAAUCCCAGCUACUUGGGAGGCUGAGGCAGGAGAAUUGCUUGAACCUGGGGGGCGGAGCUUGCAGUGAGCCAAGAUCGCGCCAGUGCACUCCUGCCUGGGUGACAGAGUGAGACUCCAUCUCAAAAAACAAACAAACAAACAAACAAACAAACAAAAAGAGAUUCUGCUUGAGUCUUUCCAUUCUUAAACAUGAUUAAUGUACGAAAUAUACAAAAAAUGUACAAAAUGCACAUAAAUGUACAGACAAUAAAAAAUUAAAAAUAAAAAAUGAUAAUCCAUG